rnacentral:lncRNA from 1 species
CACAUCUCAACUUCGUUCCCUUUGUUUCUCAUUUGAAACCUUCACAACUCUUAUUUCACAACUCAAUUUUUGUUUUUCACUAUUUUUCUUCCAAGCAAGCAUUCAUUUUCAUUUUCUCUAUUUUUUUCUUUUCUUUUCACAUCGUAUUCACAAAACAGAUGUUUCUCUUUUCUAUUUUUUAUUUUUAUUUUUUUCAAUGCUUGCUCGGUUUUUCAAGAGUUGUGGCACUUACCGAUUCUCUUUUUCGUUCUCCCCAACUUAUUUCUUACUCACCCUAAGUGAAUGCUCUUGACUUUUUACGGCAAAAGAACAAUUAUCAAAAAAUUUCGGGUUUCAAGAAAAAAGAUUUUU